CCAUAAUAUUAGUGCAAGUAAAUAGAAGCAAAUGCUUUCAUGGUCCAUACUGUUUCUCAUUUUGAAAACAAAAGAUCAGUGAUCUCUCAGCCCCUUCCAUUCCUACCUGUCCUGCUACCACUGAACCUCUUUCCUUCCCUCACAGUCACACUUAUCAAACCAGUUAUCCUUUCUGUCUGUUUCCUUACCUGACAUAAUUCCUCUAAUUCCUCAUCUAUAAGAAAGGGAUAAUAAGUUGUUAGCAAGUCAGAUUCUGGUUCAAAGACAUGCCAAAUUCAAUGUUGGUAAUGAUUUUCAAUAAUUAUAUUGGUAGCUUCUAAGUAAGAACUUUAGUAAAUUACCCCACUCUAAUUCUGGGUUCUGUGCUCUCAUUCUCUCACUUAAGAUCUGAUGACUGAGACGUCUAAACACAGUGUUACUUUUAAUGUUUACCUUACCUGACUUCUCAAUAACUUACCUGAUGCUAUUGACUACACCCUUCUUGAAAUUCUUGUUUCUGGAUGUCCUUACAACCACUCCUGUUUUUUGACCCCGAUUGUCUAGUAGAGAUCCUCAGCUUUCUUAGUUGUAUUUCCUUGGCUGGCUCUGUCUUCUCUACCAAAACCUAGCUGUUGUGGUAUGUCUUUGACACUCA
rnacentral:lncRNA from 1 species